AUUAAGCUGAUUAGUCCCAAACAGGACGAAACGCGCGUCCUGCAU
rnacentral:hammerhead_ribozyme from 1 species